UACGAGGGGGGCAAGCGUUGUUCGGAAUUAUUGGGCGUAAAGCGCACGUAGGCGGCUUUGCAAGUCGGAUGUGAAAUCCCUCGGCUUAACCAAGGAAGUGCAUCCGAAACUGCAGAGCUUGAGUACUUAAGAGGAUCGCGGAAUUCCCGGUGUAGAGGUGAAAUUCGUAGAUAUCGGGAGGAACACCAGUGGCGAAGGCGGCGACCUGGGUAGAUACUGACGCUGAGGUGCGAAAGCGUGGGGAGCAAACAGG
rnacentral:rRNA from 1 species